CGCGGCGGCCAUUUUGUGGUGGACUGUUGGCUGCAUCCAUUCCAUCUCGAUCAGACUGGCAUCCCAAACCCGGCGUGUCCUGUGCACAGGGUUACACAGUAAUAUAUAAUACAUCUGGUGAGCAUGUGACAACCAGUACCCAUCCCAUGAACCAGGAGGACUGAGCAGGACCCAGAGCCCCAUGGCUCCCUCUCACUCCCGGAUACAUGAGAGAUACAAUGAGCAGAAGAUCCUGGAACUCACCAACAAGAUCAUUCAGCUGCUGACUGGAGAGGUUCCUAUAAGGUGUCAGGAUGUCACUGUCUAUGGAGGGGGAGUAUUUGGAAGGACACAGAGGUCUGUACAAGAACAUGAUGAGGAUGGAUGCAAUCACAUCACUUGAUGAAGCCAGUAACAGAGAUACCCCAGAGAGAUGUCCCCGUCCUCUUUAUUCCCAGGACUGUACAGAGGAGGAUCACAGGAUCCCACAGG